UACAUGCAAGUCGAGCGAACGGACGAGAAGCUUGCUUCUCUGAUGUUAGCGGCGGACGGGUGAGUAACACGUGGAUAACCUACCUAUAAGACUGGGAUAACUUCGGGAAACCGGAGCUAAUACCGGAUAAUAUUUUGAACCGCAUGGUUCAAAAGUGAAAGACGGUCUUGCUGUCACUUAUAGAUGGAUCCGCGCUGCAUUAGCUAGUUGGUAAGGUAACGGCUUACCAAGGCAACGAUGCAUAGCCGACCUGAGAGGGUGAUCGGCCACACUGGAACUGAGACACGGUCCAGACUCCUACGGGAGGCAGCAGUAGGGAAUCUUCCGCAAUGGGCGAAAGCCUGACGGAGCAACGCCGCGUGAGUGAUGAAGGUCUUCGGAUCGUAAAACUCUGUUAUUAGGGAAGAACAUAUGUGUAAGUAACUGUGCACAUCUUGACGGUACCUAAUCAGAAAGCCACGGCUAACUACGUGCCUGCAGCCGCGGUAAUACGUAGGUGGCAAGCGUUAUCCGGAAUUAUUGGGCGUAAAGCGCGCGUAGGCGGUUUUUUAAGUCUGAUGUGAAAGCCCACGGCUCAACCGUGGAGGGUCAUUGGAAACUGGAAAACUUGAGUGCAGAAGAGGAAAGUGGAAUUCCAUGUGUAGCGGUGAAAUGCGCAGAGAUAUGGAGGAACACCAGUGGCGAAGGCGACUUUCUGGUCUGUAACUGACGCUGAUGUGCGAAAGCGUGGGGAUCAAACAGGAUUAGAUACCCU
rnacentral:rRNA from 1 species